GAUGAAGAACGUAGCGAAAUGCGAUACUUGGUGUGAAUUGCAGAAUCCCGUGAACCAUCGAGUCUUUGAACGCAAGUUGCGCCCGAAGCCACUAGGCCGAGGGCACGCCUGCCUGGGCGUCACACGCCGUUGCCCCCCCAUCUACUCCUUCGGGAUUGCGGGGGGGCGGAUGAUGGCCUCCUGUGCGCCUAGCCGCGCGGUUGGCAUAAAUACCAAGUCCUCGGCGACGCACGCCACGACAAUCGGUGGUUGCGAAACCUCGGUUGCCCGUCGUGUGCGUUCGUCGCGCAUCGAGGGCUCGAAAAAAUGCUCGGCUCCGGCUGGGCUUUCAACGCGACCCCAGGUCAGGCGGGGUUACCCGCUGAAUUUAAGCAUAUCAUAGCGGAGGA
rnacentral:misc_RNA from 1 species